rnacentral:rRNA from 1 species
AGUGAACGCUGGCGGUAGGCCUAACACAUGCAAGUCGAACGGCAGCACAGUAAGAGCUUGCUCUUACGGGUGGCGAGUGGCGGACGGGUGAGGAAUACAUCGGAAUCUACUUUUUCGUGGGGGAUAACGUAGGGAAACUUACUCUAAUACCGCAGACGACCUUCGGGUGAAAGCAGUGGAACUUCGGACCUUCCUCGAUUGAAUGAGCCGAUGUCGGAUUAGCUAGUUGGCGGGGUAAAGGCCCACCAAGGCGACGAUCCGUAGCUGGUCUGAGAGGAUGAUCAGCCACACUGGAACUGAGACACGGUCCAGACUCCUACGGGAGGCAGCAGUGGGGAAUAUUGGACAAUGGGCGCAAGCCUGCUCCAGCCAUACCGCGUGGGUGAAGAAGGCCUUCGGGUUGUAAAGCCCUUUUGUUGGGAAAGAAAAGCAGCAGGUUAAUACCCCGCUGUUCUGACGGUACCCAAAGAAUAAGCACCGGCUAACUUCGUG